rnacentral:sRNA from 1 species
GCUGGGUGUGGUGGCCCAUGACUGUAAUCCCAGUGACUCAGGAGGCUGACACAGGAGGAUCACAAGUUGGAGAAGCAACUUAGCGAGACCCUGUCUCAA